UCAGGCCUAACACAUGCAAGUCGUACGGGAAUUUUUAAUUCAAGUGGCGGACGGGUGAGUAACACGUAAGAAUUUGCCUUUAGGAGGGGGACAACAACUGGAAGCGGUUGCUAAUACCCCAUAUGCUUUCGAGUGAAAUGGAUUUUUCCGCCUAAAGAGAAGCUUGCGGCUGAUUAGCUUGUUGGUGAGGUAAUGGCUCACCAAGGCGACGAUCAGUAUCUGGUUUGAGAGGAUGAUCAGACACACUGGAACUGAGACACGGUCCAGACUCCUACGGGAGGCAGCAGUGGGGAAUUUUCCGCAAUGGGCGAAAGCCUGACGGAGCAAUCUCGCGUGAGGGAUGACGGCCUAUGGGUUGUAAACCUCUUUUUCAGGGAGGAACAAAAUGAC
rnacentral:rRNA from 1 species